CAUCUCGUCCUUGUCCUCCCCCACGCCUCCUUCCUCCCGCCUUCCUCCUUGACGACGCCGCCGGCGCCUCGCGGGUCGCGGCCGCUCACUCCUCUUAAAGCGCGCGCCCCGCCCAAACCCUACCUUGGAAAACCCUUCACGCCACCACGGGGACUCCAUUCCGCCUCUCGCGAUGUCGCUCGAGAUCCACGAGGAGGAUGGUGGGGUGUCCGGUGCUCGCCCGGCGAAGGUGAUGUCUGUCUCGGGGAGCGGGAAGCGGGGGCGGUACGUGCGGCAGGUGACGGGGCGGCACAACGACACCGACCUCCACGUGGCGGCGCGGGGCGGGGACGCCGCGGCGCUGCGGCGCGCGCUGCACGAGGCCGCGGCGGCCGUGGCCACCGGGGAGGGGCCGGAGGAGCUCGAGGAGGCUCGGCGCGCGGUGGCCGCGGAGCCGAACGAGGCUGGGGAGACGCCUCUGGUCGCCGCGGCGGAGAGGGGGCACCUCGAGGUGGUGGUGGAACUGCUCCGGCACCUCGACGCCGAGGGGCUGGCGGCAAAGAAUAGGUCGGGCUACGACGCACUGCACGUCGCGGCGAGGGAAGGCCGUCAUGCUGUUGUGCAGGAAAUGUUACUUCGUGACAGGAUGCUUGCCAAGACACUUGGUCCUGGAAAUACUACUCCACUUAUAUCAGCAGCUAUGAGGGGCCAUAUUGAAGUUGUUGAACUGUUGCUGGAACAAGAUGACUUUGGAUUGGCGGAAAUGGCCAGAGAUAAUGGAAAAAAUGCCCUACAUUUUGCUGCUCGGCAGGGACAUAUUGGAAUUGUGAAAGCACUACUUGAGAAAGAUCCUCAGUUAGCAAGAAGAAAUGACAAGAAAGGUCAAACUGCUCUUCAUAUGGCCGUAAAGGGAACAAGCUGUGAUGUUCUUAGACCUCUAGUGGAUGCUGAUCCAGCAAUUGUAAUGCUGCCAGAUAAAAAUGGGAACACAGCUUUGCAUGUCGCAACAAGAAAAAAGCGAGCAGAGAUAGUUAGUGUUCUCUUGCGGCUACCAGAUACUCAUGUCAAUGCACUGACCAGAGACCACAAGACUGCAUACGAUAUAGCUGAAGGGUUGCCAGUAUGUGAAGAGUCUUGUGAAAUUAAGGAUAUUUUAUCACAACAUGGUGCUCUCAGAUCUAGGGAGCUGAAUCAACCUCGAGAUGAGCUGCGGAAGACAGUGACAGAGAUAAAGAAAGAUGUCCAUACACAACUGGAGCAAACAAGAAAAACAAACAAAAAUGUUCAUGGCAUUGCUAAAGAACUCAGAAAGUUGCACAGAGAAGGCAUCAACAAUGCCACAAAUUCUGUAACUGUUGUUGCGGUGCUGUUUGCAACUGUUGCUUUUGCAGCUAUAUUCACUGUACCUGGUGGAAAUGACAACGAUGGACUUGCAGUUGUUGUUCAGGCUACCUCCUUUAAGAUUUUCUUCAUCUUCAAUGCCGUAGCUCUGUUUACAUCAUUGGCGGUAGUUGUAGUUCAAAUAACAGUUGUCAGGGGAGAAACCAAGUCUGAGCGAAGGGUUGUUGAGGUGAUCAACAAACUUAUGUGGAUAGCAUCUGUUUGCACUACAAUUUCUUUCAUUGCCUCCUGCUAUAUUGUACUAGGCCGCCACUUCCAGUGGGCAGCAAUACUGGUAUCUUUGAUAGGUGGUGUCACAAUGGCUGGCGUACUUGGUACAAUGACAUACUAUGUAGUGAAAUCAAAGCGUAUGAGGAAGAUCAGAAAAAAGGAGAAGAUGUCAAGAAGAAGUGGCUCAAGCUCCUUGUAUGACAAUACUGAGCUCUCAGAUACUGAACUUAACCCAGUCUAUGCCUUGUAAAAAUAAAGGGUGUCUGGACUCUGUCUCUCACCAGAUUCGAGACUUGCCCAUUGUGCAAGGCUCCUACAGUUGAGGAAUUUGAUGGCACCAAAUGUGCUCAAUCUAUUGUACAUAUUGCAUGACAGAUCAUCUUGUUCAUUCAAUGUAUGCACUUAUAUGUAAUUUGUUAUGCUGCUGCAAAGUCUCAAGCAUUAUCCAGGUACUCCUGUACUUCAUUUCUAGUUCUGAGCUUGUUUCUUUAAUUUGGUAAUGCGACUUCAGGCCUUGACAGGGUUUUAGUUUCUUUUAAGCACUUAGACUGUUCAUAACAUGCUAUUUCAUCUUUUAAUAGUGAUCUCUUGUGUACUGCAACUGUAGGAUGUUAAUUUAAAUGCUUAUUGGGCUAAACUAAAUGCUUAUUUUCAAGUUAGAGUCUUUUUUUUAUCAUUGCUGCAAACCAAGUGAUGUUAAGGAUUACUAGUAUACUCUGGAUGUAAUUUUGAUUUAUGCUAUUUUUUCUUUCAAUAAUAAUUUUUUUAUAUACUGCUACUGGAUAAUGUAGCAAAACUUAUUGGGCUAAAUUAAGUGCAUAUUUUCAAGAGUUUUUGGUUGAUCGAGGCUGGAAACAAAUUGAUAUUAUGGAUCACUAGUUCACUCUGGAUGUAAUUUUGGUUUUAUUCCUCUGCUUAUGUUGAACCUAUGAAAAUUUCUGCCACUAGUUUAUGUAACACUGAAGUGCACUGAAUACUCACCUUGCCAGCAAGAGCAUGUGCAGUUUUAUGUGUACUGUAUCCAUAAUGAUAGUAUGAUACUGUUUAUGAUAUUCACCUUGUUGAAUCUGAAAUGGUCAGUGGGAUGCACAUGUUCUGGUAGACUUUGGUGCAGGUACCAAUCACUGGAUAUAAGAUUACUUCGGUCUGUCACAAGUUACUUUUCUAACUAAUCAGAGAGUCGGCAUUUCCAUAAAAAAAAAUCAAAGUCAGUGGCACAAGUUGGCACUGCAAUGCAAACAUACUUUUUUUUUGCAGGACUAGAAAGGCAAAAAGAGGAAACUUGUGCCAUGCAAAACAACAUAAGAUUUAUCUAAAAAACAAAGAAAACAUUGGCUAACUACUGGUGCUUAAGAGGCAGGGAGGUGUAAAGUAGGCCAUAUUAUGUUGCUGCCAGUCCUAACACUGCUCAACAUCAUCAAUGUAGUGGAUAACUCUGCUUACCUUUUGCUUUAAUCUUGCCCUGCCUUUUGUCAGCAUGCUCUCUUAGUUUAAGGAUUCCUGUCUUAACUUGGCCAUUUCUUAAGUAUAUGUCCUGCUUUGAAGCUAAGGAAUGCUCCCUUGUUUGGUUUCUUUUGUUUCCAUAUAGGAUAGACUCUGACAAGAAGUGUUCUUUAAUGUAAUUGCUUGAUGCCUGUGCUGAUAUAUUAUAGGCAUGUUUGGUUUGCUACCUAAGGCGCCACCACGCCUAAGGUUAGCAUGCUGCCGCAGGUGCGGUGCUCAAAUCGACCGCCGCAGGUGCGGCGUGAAAAUUGUGUGGCAUGUCGAUGGAACCGCGCCUAAGAAAGUGUGGCCGACUAACUUUAGCUGUUCACCAAACGCAUGCCUCCGAUGCUAUGGCGCGCCUAAGGUUAGGCUGUGGCGCCUUAGGCAGCGAACCAAACACGCCCUAUGUCUGAUCUGUUGUUGUAGUCUCAACAUUGCUAGGUGCUUAAAUGAGGAAAACUACUGAGUUGGAAAUUCAACAUGAUGGAAAUGAGGUUGAUCUUGUCCAUUGCUUUGCAGCUUUCCUGAUCCCCAAAGAAAAUGGCUACAUCUAUUGUGAAGGUCACAAUAUGAAACAUAUAUCAUAUCUGCAGAAAGAUCAAGAUGAAAAGAGCACAGAAUUAUUGGGGAACAUUGAUAUUUCGACCAAUAUCAAAUAUACCCUAUGUGUCUUCAGAUUCUGCUGCUAUUUUUGAUGCUGAUGAUGACAUGAACCGGAAACCUGCGUCACUUGCACUUUUCCUCACUGAGGCCAGCUGUUGUGACUUUUUACAGUAUGCUAUUGCACCCUGAAUUGGAUUGUCCAUCUCUGAACUUGCACUGCUGCUCCUCCUCAGCACCGGUCCUACACCGGAAUCUUUUGAGCUUGGGAUGGAGAAGGAGGAUGAAUUUGAUGAAGAGCAUGAUGAUGAUGAAACUGAGGAUGGCUUGUUUGAUGAUGAAUAUCUGAUAAUGACGCUGGAGAAGGAUCUUCUAUGGCCGCACUCAUCCUCUUUAAGCUUGCUACCUAGUGUGGUUCUAUUGCUGACGGGUGAGGCUAUGUACCUGUUGCUUCUGAUAUGGCUAAUUGAGUUCUUCCUCCAGGUCUUGAACUGUGAAUUCGAUAGCUCAUCUGCUCUAGGCUGCUGCCUCCUCGGCAGCAUCACUACCAGCGGAUAUGCACUCAUGGAAGUAGUACUCCGCAUUGAGCUCACCACUGGCAUAGCAUGAAUUUGCUGCUGAUGCAUUGCAUGACUGGUAUGGUGUUGCUGGGGCAGUGCUUGCUGAGAGUAAGCCCUUUUCAGCUGCACUCUCAAGGAGCUUCUCAACCAUCUGAAUGCGUGGUGGAAGAUGGAGCGGUAGCAGCUUGCCCUUGUAGAAGAGCUCAUCUGCUGGGGAUGCUUCGGGCUCCCACUGGUCAAGUGGAGCUGGCAUGUGGAAUUCAAACUCUCGCGAGUGUUGUGGGGAGGUUGCCAUAGCGUAGCAGAACAAGCUUGCCUUGGUGAUGGCCACAUCUGCUGCUGGGUUACAAGGCAACCAUUAAGAUAUAGGCUUACGAGGUGAUCACUUUAUCGAUAGAUUAUUCGCAAAAUGUCUACCGAUAUGUGGGACCUGCACACCAGUUGGUCUGCCUGUAAACUGGACAGAUACACUUGGAAGCUUCAUAUUCUUUCAAGCAAGUGUUGAAAGUUGUUUUUCAAAUGCUUGGGUUGCAUGAUGGUAGCUUGGAUUGAAACUUGGAAUUUAAAGGCCUUCUUGUUUAUAAAAAUUAAGUUUUCCACGGUUAAA